GAAUUUUCAAAUGAUCGUAACUUU
rnacentral:miRNA from 1 species